rnacentral:lncRNA from 1 species
UGGAAAUGAAAAAGACAGGGAAAGCAAUCUGAGGUGCAAAAAAUUAAAAAAAACACACGAGACAAGAGCUCGCAUUAUAACACACCAUGAUAUCGUGCGCUCAUCCAUCACCCUACUUCAUUCUAAUAUGGCAGCUUCUUUUGCUUUUGGGCCGAUACACGUCAGUCUAGCCUGUUCUUCACAUACACCUUCAUUGAAAGCAUCACCAACAGCCUGAAAAAGUAAAUGCUUAAAAAUUCUCUUUUGCAAGGGUAAUGUUGUCUUCUUGUAUCCUCCUAAAAAUCUUCUUUAUGAACACUUGACAGUAAUCUAAUCUCAAUGACCUGUCCACUUCUCUAUGUUAAUGUAUUUUUUUUGCCAAGU